GCCUGGCUGGCUCAGUUGGUAGAGCAUGCAACUCUUGAUCUCAGGGUUGUGAGUUCAAGCCCCAUGUUGGGUG
rnacentral:tRNA from 1 species